rnacentral:rRNA from 1 species
UACGAAGGGGGCUAGCGUUGCUCGGAAUCACUGGGCGUAAAGGGUGCGUAGGCGGGUCUUUAAGUCAGGGGUGAAAUCCUGGAGCUCAACUCCAGAACUGCCUUUGAUACUGGCGACCUUGAGUCCGGGAGAGGUGAGUGGAACUGCGAGUGUAGAGGUGAAAUUCGUAGAUAUUCGCAAGAACACCAGUGGCGAAGGCGGCUCACUGGCCCGGUACUGACGCUGAGGUGCGAAAGCGUGGGGAGCAAACAGG